CCCUUAGAUGUUCUGGGCUGCACGCGCGCUACACUGAAGCGUUCAACGAGUAUUCACCUUGCCCGGGAGGGUUGGGUAAUCUUUUGAAAACGCUUCGUGAUGGGGAUAGAUUAUUGCAAUUAUUAAUCUUCAACGAGGAAUUCCUAGUAAGCGCGAGUCAUCAGCUCGUGCUGAUUACGUCCCUGCCCUUUGUACACACCGCCCGUCGCUCCCACCGAUUGAGUGAUCCGGUGAAUAAUUCGGACUGCAGCACUGCUUGGUCUCCAGGCUUUGCAGCGGAAAGUUUAGUGAACCUUAUCACUUAGAGGAAGGAGAAGUCGUANCA
rnacentral:rRNA from 1 species